AAACACUAGGGGAGCUUUGAGCUGAGAUUACUUUUGUAAGACCCUUUGACCUGAACUAGAUAAUGCUUGCGUAGGGAAUGUGAAAUUU
rnacentral:ncRNA from 1 species